GGGAUGGGGGUGUCCCUGGGGUCUUCACACAGCUAAUGAUACAGAUGUGGCUUUUUCUGUGGGAAAUGAGCUCUGAAGUGGUCUGCAGGCCAGGGCUUGUGUGAGGUUAGCUCUGGGGCCGUAACGAGUCCUUGUUUCAAAGCCUCGGUGUCUUCCUUACAGGGGACGCGAGUUCCCUUUCCUAAAAGGAGAGUUCAGAGGGAACUUCGCAAGCUGAAGGGCAGACUGCUUUCAGACGUCUCUCCUCCGCCUCUUGCGCGCGGUCCUGGUUUAACUGCACACAACGAGUGCGGAGUUCGGCCCGUUAUUUACUGCAGAGCGGUGAACGUACGAUCGGCGCUUCCAGCAGCUGGUGGGGGCGCCUACCGCGUGAAACGCCUUUGAGGCCAUCGGACGCAAUGGAGCGUGAGCCAAGUCUCAGGGCCCCGGAUACAUACUGCUCUUAAGGAACCAACGGGACGGGGAGGGCAGCUUCCUUCAGUGUUUGAACGCCGUUUAAGCUCCAGGGAGUUGACCGCGUUUGGAAACCCUCGCUGCCCGGCCGUCCUGCGAGGAGGGGGCAGAUGGGCGCUGCUUCCGCCGCGCGUCUCCUGGCGGAAGAUGCGCUGAAGCAGGAGCGUCGGCAGACCAUGGCUGGCUGCGACCUUUGCCUGGGCUCUCGUGGAGGCCCGCGCGCGACCGCGUUACCAUGGUGACGCUCUUAACCAAAACUCGGGAAAACAAAGGUGCUGACUCCGUAACAUGCAGGACUGAGCUGCACACUCCAAAGAUGAGUCAAGGACCUACCCUCUUCUCUUGUGGAAUUAUGGGAAAACGAUCCAUAAACGAGCCUCUCCAGGCUCCAGUCCGCUCCCGACUCUCCCCUGCUUUAAGGCGAACGGCGGGCUACCGUUGCUGGUGA
rnacentral:lncRNA from 1 species